GACGAACGCUGGCGGCGUGCUUAACACAUGCAAGUCGAACGAUGAACCCGGAGCUUGCUCCGGUGGAUUAGUGGCGAACGGGUGAGUAACACGUGAGUAACCUGCCCUUGACCCUGGGAUAACUGCGGGAAACUGUAGCUAAUACCGGAUACGACCCUCGGCGGCAUCGCCAGGGGGUGGAAAGCAUUUCGGUCAAGGAUGGACUCGCGGCCUAUCAGCUAGUUGGUGAGGUAACGGCUCACCAAGGCGACGACGGGUAGCCGGCCUGAGAGGGUGACCGGCCACACUGGGACUGAGACACGGCCCAGACUCCUACGGGAGGCAGCAGUGGGGAAUAUUGCACAAUGGGCGCAAGCCUGAUGCAGCAACGCCGCGUGAGGGAUGACGGCCUUCGGGUUGUAAAGCUCUUUUGUCAGGGAAGAAACAGCAGCUCUAACACAGUUUGCGAAUGACGGUACCUGAAGAAUAAGCACCGGCUAAC
rnacentral:rRNA from 1 species